rnacentral:rRNA from 1 species
UACGUAUGGUGCAAGCGUUAUCCGGAUUUAUUGGGUUUAAAGGGUGCGUAGGCGGAUCGUUAAGUCAGUGGUCAAAUUGAGGGGCUCAACCCCUUCCCGCCAUUGAAACUGGCGAUCUUGAGUGGAAGAGAAGUAUGCGGAAUGCGUGGUGUAGCGGUGAAAUGCAUAGAUAUCACGCAGAACCCCGAUUGCGAAGGCAGCAUGCCGGCUUCCGACUGACGCUGAAGCACGAAAGCGUGGGGAUCGAACAGG